GGGUUGUAAACCUCUUUUCACAGGGAAGAAUAAUGACGGUACCUGUGGAAUAAGUCUCGGCUAACUACGUGCCAGCAGCCGCGGUAAUACGUAGGAGGCGAGCGUUAUCCGGAUUUAUUGGGCGUAAAGAGGGCGUAGGCGGCUGACUAAGUCGGAUGUAAAAUCUCCCGGCUUAACUGGGAGGGACCGUUCGAUACUGGUCGGCUUGAGGGCAGCAGGGGAAGGUGGAAUUUCCGGUGUAGUGGUGAAAUGCGUAGAUAUCGGGAGGAACACCAGUGGCGAAGGCGGCCUUCUGGGCUGUACCUGACGCUGAGGCCCGAAAGCGUGGGGAGCAAACAGGAUCAGAUACCCUGGUAGUCCACGCUGUAAACAAUGGACACUAGGUAUGGGGAGUAUCGACCCUCUCUGUGCCGAAGCUAAC
rnacentral:rRNA from 1 species